rnacentral:rRNA from 1 species
UUCGUGUGGAACACCGGCGCCAUAGAGGGUGAUAGCCCCGUAGGAGAAGCGGUGAAAGAUGAUUUUCAGAAUCCAAGAGUAGCGUGCAUUGGAUAUUGCGCGUGAAUACGGGAGGUACUAACUCCCAACCCUAAAUACAAACCGAGACCGAUAGCGCAAUAGUAGCGUGAGCGAAAGUUGUAAAGUAUCCCUGACGGGAGAUUAAUAAGACCCUGAAAUCAGGUGGUAACAGACUGGUAUGGCAUGCAAGGGAUUAAGCGGUUACACCGCCGCACCGAUGUCAUACCGUUCGAUUCGAAAAUUGAUCCGUGGAGUUCCUAUUAUUGGCGAGGUUAAGUACGCAGGUACGAAGCCGUAGGGAAACCGAUAGCCCGCAGCGCAAGCGAGGGGCAAGGUGCGCUCGCCUGGAGUCAAUAGUUGGAUACCCGAAGCCGGUCGAUCUAUGCCUGGGCAGGGUGAAGCCUUUCGGAAGAAGGGUGGAGGCCCGAACCAGUACUGAUGUGCAAAUCGUUUGGAUGACCUGGGUAUAGGGGCGAAAGACCAAUCUAGACCGGUAAUAGCUGGUUCCUCUCGAAACUGCUCGCAGGCAGACCUCAGCAGAGACGGGGCAUGCGGUAGAGCACUGAUUGCGUGUUUAGGAAGCGAAAGUUUUCGGCAUGCUGUCAAACUCCGAAUGUGUGUCCGUCGUAGAAGCUGGGCAGUGAGGGCAUCGGGGUAAGCUUGAUGUCCAUAAGGAAAACAAACCAGACCAGAGUUAAGGUCCCCAAGUAACAGCUAAGUGUUAAAGAACAAAUAGUGUUUAACGGCAUAGACAGCUGGAAGGUUGGCUUAGAGGCAGCCAUCCUUUAAAGAGUUCGUAACAGAUCACCAGUCAAGUUCUUGAGCCUAGAAAAUGGACGGGACUAAGUUGUUCACCGAUACUUUGGGCCACCGAAAGGUGAUGCGGUAGAGAGGCGUCGUGCGCGGGUGGAAGUGGGGCCGUGAGGUCCUGUGGACCGCGUUCGAAUGAUAAUCAUGGAAAUAGUAGUAGCGUAGAUGGGUGAGAAUCCCAUCCGCCGGAGGGGCUAGGGUUCCUCGACGAUGUUCAUCAGUCGAGGGUUAGUCGGUCCUAAGGUUCCCCCUAACAGGAGGAAUCGAAAGGGAAGCAGGUUAAAAUUCCUGCACCAAUUCAUAUUUUGUCCAGUUCCUGACACAUCGGGUCUUGUGGAGCACUCUUGUCUGAGUGUUGCCUUAAGCGAUAAAUCCGUGGAGUACCGUAAUGGUGAGAAUCGGACUAAGCUUUUGGGAGGCGGAGUAUUUCGCUUCUGCGUUAGCCUGGUGUCCGUGAAAAGGGAGCUGGAGUCGUAUGAGUUGUCCGUACCGAGAUCUGACACAGGUGCCCCUAGGUGAGUAGCCUAAGGCGUCGCGGCAGAAUCCGGGCGAGGGAAUUCGGCAAAUUAGCCCCGUACCUUUGGUAUAAGGGGUGCCAGCUCUGAAGAGAGCUGGUCGCAGUGACUAGGGAGCUCCGACUGUUUACUAAAAACACAGGUGGCUGCUAGUCCGUAAGGAUGAGUAUAGCCGCUGAAUCCUGCCCAGUGGUGGUAUCUGAAACCCUGUUUCAACUGGACGAAGGACCACUAAACGGCGGGGGUAACUAUGACCCUCUUAAGGUAGCGUAAUACCUUGUCGCUUAAUUGGCGACUUGCACGAACGGCCUAACGAGAGCUCUACUGUCCCCGCCCGGAGCCCGAUGAAAUUGACUUACUGGCGCACAGUCCAGUACGUCCCAGCCGCAAGCGAAGACCCCGUGGAGCUUUACUGCAACCUGCCGUUGUGGCACGAGUUGUUAUGUGUAGCGUAGACGGGAGACAUUACACAGGUGCGAGCGCUAGCUCGUCGCCGAGUCACCGAUGAAACACCGUCCUUUUCGAUUCGUCCCACUCACCUCUUCGGAGGAACCCCGGUAGGCGGGCAGUUUGGGUGGGGCGCCACUCCCUCGAAAAAAUAACAAGGGAGCCCAAAGGUCAGCUUAGGUAGGUCAGGAAUCUACCGUUAAGUGCAAGGGCAAAAGCUGGCUUGACGUGGUUUGGCAACACAACAAACCACGAUGCGAAAGCAGGGCCUAGCGAACCAACCAGCGCCGUUAGUAGGUGCGGUUGAUAACAGAAAAGUUACCCCGGGGAUAACUGAGUUGUCUGGAGCAAGAGCCCACAUCGACCUCCAGGCUUGCUACUUCGAUGUCGUCUCUUCCUAUCCUGGGUGUGCAGAAGCACCCAAGGGUGGGGUUGUUCGCCCAUUAAAAGGGAUCGUGAGA